UACGUAUGGUGCAAGCGUUAUCCGGAUUUACUGGGCGUAAAGAGCUCGUAGGCGGUUUGUCGCGUCGGCUGUGAAAACCUGAGGCUCAACCUCAGGCCUGCAGUCGAUACGGGCAGACUUGAGUGUUGCAGGGGAGACUGGAAUUCCUGGUGUAGCGGUGAAAUGCGCAGAUAUCAGGAGGAACACCGGUGGCGAAGGCGGGUCUCUGGGCAACAACUGACGCUGAGGAGCGAAAGCGUGGGGAGCGAACAGG
rnacentral:rRNA from 1 species